GUGACCAUUUCCCAUAAUGUCUGUCAUUGAGAAUAAACCAAAAGAAAACCCAAACUAAAAAGAUGACUCAUUUUCCUAAUGGACCCUCUUCCCCCCUUGGCCCUGCCACCUGGUUCAGUCCAACCUGAGCACAUGUGUCCAUGGUCACCCGAAAGGUAGUUUACUGUGUCAGUUGUUGAAUAACUCCAUUGAAGACUCAAGAAGCAAGGUUUAGGCUCAAACAUGUGGGCCGUUUUGUUGCUCAUGCUGACCUUUUCUGCUCCAAGAAGGACGGCAGAAGAAAAUGUCACAGAUUUAGCCGUUGAAGAGAGACUUGUAAUAGCCAAGGGCAUACUUAAGUGUGGUUGGAUGAGCCAUCAAGAAGAUGCCUGAGCUCUAUAUGUUUCUCAUGGAGCGAUGGGCAUUGUAGUAUCCUUCUAUUGGUUUCUGUGUAGAUCUUCAAUAGAUUUAUGAGGCUAGAUUAUAAUUGUAUUAUGGUUGCUAUGUCACUUUCUAAUGAUAUCUUAGGAGAUCGCAUUGCCUCAUAUGGUUACAUCGUACCUCAUGUAAUUUUUUUCAAAACUUGACCCACCCAAAGCCUUUUGUAGUUUCUCAUGACCUUCCAGAUAAACAAGAAAAUGUGUGUUAGCAACAACCCAGUUUUAUGUGGGUCCAACUACAUUCAAAUCCAUCAUGUGUUGUAUGUUCAAUUAUGUUUGAUCUCACUUCAAGUAGAUUGUUCUUGAAUUUGUUGGUGUUCCCGUAUCCUACAGGCAGAGAGUGAACCUAGUCCUGGACAAUAACAAAAAAUCAUGCUUAAUGGAGAAUCUUCACUGAAAUAGAUUUUUUUUUGUCCAGGACUAGGAAUAAUCUGGGCUCAGGAAACCAGCCCUACAUAUGUUCCUUGAGCCUCCUUUCAGUUGAAGUCACAAUCUGGAAUAUGAUACAGGGGAGGAGAAGAAUCCAUUUCUGAUCUUCUACAAUGAUAAGGAUGAGGUUGUUCAGAUUGUCCCUGUAAAGUACAUGAAGGUGGAUGAGAUCAGCAGUCUGCUGGUGUUGCUGGGUUUCUACAAUAGAUCUCAGAAGAGAGAGGAGGUACUGGAGCAGUUUCAGUACUUUCCCCUGCGUGCCCCCAGAGAUGAGCUGUAAGCACAGGGACAUCUUGUGGCCAUACUCUGUCGUUGCACCCUGUCACACAUGACGAGUGAGGCCCCAAGGCCACAACAUAAUCCAGGCCUCAGUCUGAGGACGACAGACUCUGUGCAGUUGAGCAAAGCAGAGCCCUACCACACCGUCUCACUGUAAUUUAAACAUGAAUUGAAUCAUGAAUUUGUCAAUAAAAGUUUUCACAAGUUACGUCAAAUGUUUCUCUUACUGACUUUUUGU